CGCGUGUUUAGUGCGGCUCUCGUCAAGGUGAGUCGAGACUUUCCGAGAGUAAAAGGGAGCAGAGUUACUAAUGGAGGUAUUCAGCCCCUUGAUCAAUCAGAGGAGGAGGAUUUUGUCAGCGGAAACAUCGCGGAAUGCUGAUUUAUUGACUCGCUCCGUCUCGGAAUAAAGAGGGGCUACAAUCUACGACUGUCUUUCAUUACGAAAGCAAGACAAGAAAUCUGUCUGCGCUCCAUAGGCGAUGUCUAGAGGAUUUAAUUUGGAUACCGACUGUGAGGUAAAAUACAACCUAGCAGGGCUGUUUUGGGCCAUCUGGCAGAAGCUCGGCCUCUUAAGCGGAACCUUUUGAGUGGAGUGAUAUCACAGGCUCGCGCGAGCUGUGUUUUAGCUCCGUUCUCCCGCCCGACGCGCUCUCAUUACAAGGAGAAAGGUGUAGCUACUUUUCCCUCCCCGCUCGUUUUAAUUAGGCUCGCCAGGCCCGAUUCUAGAGGCCGGUCUUGUGGACUUGAUCCCUUCAGAUCAGGUGGAGUGGAAAGAGUGAAGGCACUCUUCACAUUUGGACUGGUCGUCUCAGGUUUGCUCUGGUUGACACCUGUUGUUCCAGCCUGCCAGCAGCAGUGUCAGUGCGAGGCUUCGCUGAAUUAUCCAGGGCGAAGCACAUGCCAAGGUAAAUACUCACUAAUGACUGCGCUUCUGCCAAAAAACACUCUUUUCCGGCAGGAAGAGCCGAAUAUAUCAUGGAUUCUCCACUUUAUGAAUUAACUUUUAAAUUGCUCUGCCUGUUUUAAUAAGAAAAAUACAGGCGUUCCAUUAUCAGUGACGCUCUCGCAGUGUUUUUCCAUUCCUCAAAAACCAGAGAAAUAAUCCAAGAAGACCGCAAACAUCUCAAUGCGAGAAGUUUCUGUUUGCCCUUGCGGAGGUCAAGGCGCUGAAGGAUCAGCCUGUCAAAUCAGGCCAUCCACAUCAGCGAGACUUGCCGUGCCGUCACCCCGCCACCGCUUUGGGUGUCAGACUUACUUGCAUAAAUAUUUAAAAAGGGUCUUUUCACUAAUUAAAUGGUCUCUUUGUGAUAAACAAAACAUGCUGGAGAGGAUGUGAAAACUCUUUUAAAUUCCUGCAGAGUCGAAGGUCAGCUCUGCCUUACCAGUCGAGUUUUCUAGCAUCUCGUAAAGAAAACACACGCGGUCCUAGCAGCGCGGCUCCUUUUGCUUAAGGAUGAAAUAUUGCGCGAGCCACAGACUUGCAGAUGUUCUGGAGAAAGAAUCUCCUUCGUCUUCUGCUCUGUCAACAUGUCAGUGGCUUGACCUCUUUUUUAAGAGUGUCCCGUUGAGGGUUUAACCAGCGCGUUUUAACGAGGGCCGCUGACGGCACAAUCCGAGACACAUGUUCUCAAUGGAAAAUACGCUCCGCUCCGUGAGAAGCUUGACGGCUUGUAACUUUUUCCUUAAUAUCUUUUUUUUUCUUGACAACCAUCACUUCAUCUAAUCAUUACAUGCCUAAUGUCAUUUCAUGUGCUCUUUGGACUGUCAUAAUGUCCAGAUGUGUGAACUAUCUGAAGUUUGGCUUCAAAAGACCACGAAAAAGGAGCUGAGCAAAACUACACUAUCCUCAAAACAUAUUACUAAAGACCCCUUUUGAAACGAAUUUCACAAGCGCGACGGAAAUCUGAAGGAACUUCAAAGAAUGCCUUUCACAAACACAAAAAGACACCCCUCAGACACGUGAAGGCGGUUCUGAUUGUGACUCGGUGA